CAUGCAUAUUACAUCUUCCUUCAGCUGUCCGAUCCACCUAAAAACUUUUGCAAGUCGGUGCAUGCACCAUCAGCUAAUCAUGGUGCAUGGAAUCGGGGCAAAACCAGGAGAAAUAUACUCCCUUUGCACUUGAGUCACCGUUCUACCUCACACCCUUCUAUAAAUGGGAGGGUGUGGAAGACUCCUUUUGGUACUUAGUAUAUUGAGAAAGGCUUCGAUCGAAUGCUGGAGCAAAAGCUUCAGGGACCUACCAUUAGUUCCUCUGGUUUGGCUGUUAUUUAGUUUUAUGCUUAUGGCUUGGUUGUUCUUUAACUUCUUUGCUUCCAAGUUCUUUCUCUUCUUCUUUGACUUUGGGCUUGUUCUUUUAAAUUAUCAUAGCUGAUGUUUGGCAAAGUACUUUUAAUUCUUACAUAUUUAUCUUUCAGUUA